ACUCUGAGUUUUCUUCUCCUUACAGAUACUGAAAUAAAGACCUAGAGGAUCAUUUGGUCAACUUCUCACAGAUAAGAGGAGGGGAGAUGGGAUGCAACCCAGGUUCAUUGGAUCCAAGUCCAUUUCAGCCAUCACCCUAAGCCCAGAAUCAUAAAGAAGGAAAUUCAUAAGAAGUGGUGAUCCCUCUGUUCUUUUGAUGGUGGAGACCAAGUCUACUUUGAAAUGGAGGAAGAGAAAUAGAGGACAUAAAGGAUUCUCCUACCACUCCUUCCGUUUUUGUGUGAGAUGCUGACAGAUAAGGACAGAACAUACUGUUCCCACCCUCCUCAUUUUAUUACACAAAAAUGCAGCCCACAUUGUAUUGAGCUUUGCACAUUGCUUUCUCUGCUUAACUGGACAGCCUGAACACCUCUGUACAUUGGUACAGAAAAGGCGCUCAUUUUGUUUGUUUUUUUUCACAGCUGCAAAGGAUUAAUUUUGUAAAUAUGCCAUGUUUUAUUUGGGUCCCAUCCAAACCCUG
ensembl:lncRNA